rnacentral:rRNA from 1 species
UUUUAAAUAGUUUCUGCUCAAUGAAAUUUAAAUAGCCGCGGUAUUUUAACUGUGCUAAGGUAGCAUAAUAAUUAGUUUUUUAAUUAAAAACUGGCAUGAAGGAAAAUAUGAGGAACUAACUAUUUUUAUUUAAUAGAUAGAACUUAAUUUUUAAGUGAAAAAUCUUAAAUGGUUUAAAAAGACAAGAAGACCCUUUAGAAUUUUAUAGCUAAUGAUUUUAAAAAAUUAUUAAUCUAUUUGGUUGGGGUGACUGUAAAAUAUUCAUUACUUUUAUUGUGGUUUAUCACUGUUAGGUGAAUUUUGGUUUAUAUCUUUUGUGAAGUAAAAUUAAAUUACCUGAGGGAUAACAGUACAAAAUUUUUUAUAAGUUCUUAUUAUUAAAAUAAAUUGUAACCUCGAUGUUGGAUUAAGAA